rnacentral:sRNA from 1 species
GUGAGGGAGGGGGUGACUAGUGACAGAAUGAGGGAGGGGGUGACUAGUGACAGAGGAAGAUGGUGAUUAGUGACAGAGUGAGGGAGGUGGUGACUGUCACUAGUCAACCCAUCCUUCCCUCUGUCACUAGUCACCCACUCCCGCACGCUGUCACUGUGUCACCCCAUCCCUCCCUCUGUCACUAGUCACCCUCUCCCUCUGUCACUAGUCCCCCUCUCCCUCUGUCACUAGUCACCCUCUCCCUCAC